rnacentral:rRNA from 1 species
UACGUAGGGGCCAAGCGUUGUCCGGAUUUAUUGGGCGUAAAGAGCGUGUAGGCGGCCAGACAGGUCCGUUGUGAAAACUAGAGGCUUAACCUCUAGACGUCGAUGGAAACCGUCUGGCUAGAGUCCGGAAGAGGAGAAUGGAAUUCCUGGUGUAGCGGUAAAAUGCGCAGAUAUCAGGAAGAACACCCGUGGCUAAGGCGGUUCUCUAGUACGGUACUGACGCUGAGACGCGAAAAGCGUGGGGAGCGAACAGG